rnacentral:rRNA from 1 species
GAUGAACGCUGGCGGCGUGCCUAAUACAUGCAAGUCGAGCGAACAGACGAGGAGCGUGCUCCUCUGACGUUAGCGGCGGACGGGUGAGUAACACGUGGAUAACCUACCUAGAAGACAGGGAUAACUUCGGGAAACCGUAGCGAAUGCCGGAUAAUAUAGUGAACCGCAUGGUGCAAUAGUGUAAGUCGGUUUUGCUGUCACUUAUAGAUGGAUCCGCGCCGCAUUAUCGAGUUGGUAAGGUAACGGCUUACCAAGGCAACGAUGCGUAGCUGACCUGAGAGGGUGAUCGGCCACACUGGAACUGAGACACGGUCCAGACUCCUACGGGAGGCAGCAGUGGGGAAUCUUCCGCAAUGGGCGCAAGCCUGACGGAGCAACGCCGCGUGAGUGAUGAAGGUCUUCGGAUCGUAAACCGCUGUUAUUAGGAAAGAACAAAUGUGCAAGUAACUAUGCACGUAUUGACGGUACCUAAUCAGAAAGCCACGGCUAACUACGUG